UCGUGGAUUUGCAUGAAAAAUGUGUGAGAAAAGCCAGCUCCAGUGACCUCAUCUGCACCUGCCAUUAACGUUCAAUUAGCGGCUGAAUAGCGUCGAGCCGGGCGCAGACGCGACGUGCGGAGAAUCUGGCCGGGAGCGAGCUUCGGCAGAAGCCGGUGCACCCGGAGGGGCGGUCGGUCUGCAAACUGCCUUCGCGGCCCCUCCCCCCACUAUACCUCUCCCCUCGCACCGCAACUACCCAGUCUUCCCACCGGGCCCAACCUUUCCUCCUAUUUACCAACCCCGACAAUCCCCUCCCCAUCUAAUUGCCGAAGCCUUCAUUCCAAUUGCUAACUCUGUAACACACACACAUAUACAAACAUACGCCCACCGCCACCCACCCACCCCCAUACACACACCCACACAUGCCAUCAGAGAGAUAGAAUAGUGACCUCCGAAAAUCUCGGGCUCAAGUGUCCGGGGCUUCCAGGGAAAGGGGAGGGGAAGGAACUGAAAAGUAAAAAGGGACAACACUGAACUUCUGAUAGUGAACAAGGAAGGACCCAGUGCACUCGUGUGCCGUUCUGAGAUCCUCAACUCCACUGGGAAGGGGAGGGGCAGAAUCUUCGUCCAACCCUGAAUCAAAUCCCUCUUGGAGAGAGAUUUGGUACCUACAGCUCCUUUGCCCUAGUCUCUAGACCGAGCUUCGGAGCCAGUCCGCCCCUCGCCGCCUCCCGGACAAAAUGUCAAGUACAAGUUCAAGUUCAGGGCCGUGCCCCGGGGGGCGCAACUCUUCCGUCACCGCCUUUUGUUCUUCCUCUGACAAUCGCUCUUUAUUCCCCCUCCAGGGCUGGGCCCGGCUUCUAGCAGCCGCCGGCAAAUUCUCUCUGCCCCACAGGGGCUAGCGUUGAGAUGUGCUUGCAGUCUGGGCUCCUCAGUCGAGAGGGAACCUAGACUUUGCGGGACUAGGCGUGGCUAUCAGAAGCCCCUGGGAGAGUUUUAUUCUCCUUUCCCUUUUCCUCCUCCCGGUUCAAUUCGGGGCAAACUUUCUAUUCAGUCUUCGAGUUCCUUCCAACAAACUGGCUGCUUGAGUUCGUUUUCAGGUAAUCUGGCAGAAUAGAAGGAGUGCUGGGCUUGGAGUUAGCAGAGACCUGCCUCUGAUAUUUAGGAGUUGUUUAACCCAGAAAGAGGACUGAGACAUAUGCGGAUAGGUGAUCAGAACCAUAUUACUUUGAGAAAUUGGAAGUAAGUUCUCAUCUCUCAAAUAUUACAAUCAUCUAUUGAUUGGGGGAAAGACAAUUAGGUGUGAAGAGAGGAACCAAAUGGCUUCUUGGGCCCAAGAAAGAAGAAAACGAUGAUUCAAAGGGAGAUUUCAUCUCAAAUGAACCUAACAACCUAAUCUGUGGAUGGGCAAUGUCACUCCCUUUGUUACCUCUACAAGCUACAGAGCACCUUAAAUAUUCUUAAUAGUCCUCAUUCCAUUUCCUGAGCAAUACUAAUAUUGGCAGGAUUUCUCAGGACACCAACCAUAAAAAGAGGAAGGAGGAAGAGAAGUUUCUCCCCUCUUCAAAGUGAAUGAAACUGGAGGAGAUGGGAAAGAAAACAGCAAAAUUCACUGGGAAAAGAAAGAAAAAUGGGUGAAACCAGAUAACACCAGGAUCACAGUAACGAGCCAUUUCACAGUUUCAAAGUUAGGAGUUUCUUUUUUGUCUCAGUAGUUAAACUCAUUCCUCAAACAGCACCAGCAAGAAUUUCAUUCCCUCCAUCUUCCUUCAAUAAUGCUUCCUCAGGGACUUUCCUCAAGAAAGCAAACUGAGUAUUCCCAUUGAACCAGAGACUUAAAACUCCAAUGCUGUGUGUUCAUAUUCAGCUCCUCUAGUCCUUCCAUUUAUUGUUUUGGGGAAUUCAUGUAUCCUCUCUCUAUAAGAACACAAAGGACUUUGCUAACAUAAACAGGGAGGAAGGGAGUAAGAGAAAGUCCUUUCAUAUCCAAUGCACGUGGCACACCCAAUCCCUGCAUUUAAGAUUCAGGAUAAGAGGAUGCAUAAACAUCAAUGGAAAUGAUCAUUAAAGAAUGUGGUGACAACUA